rnacentral:rRNA from 1 species
CCGGAAGAUUUAGUGGCGAACGGGUGAGGAUCACGUGAGAAACCUGCCCCAGACUUUGGGAUAACAGUUGGAAACGACUGCUAAUACCGAAUGACGUCGGAGAACCGCAUGGUUCACUGACGAAAGGAAAUCCGGUUUGGGAGGGUCUCGCGGCCUAUCAGCUUGUUGGUGGGGUAAUGGCCUACCAAGGCAACGACGGGUAGCUGGUCUGAGAGGAUGAUCAGUCACAAGGGAACUGAGACACGGUCCCUACUCC